rnacentral:rRNA from 1 species
CCGGAUGCUCCGACUCCUCGCAUGGGGUGUCGGGAAAGAUUUCAUCGGUAUGGGAUGGGGUCGCGUCCUAUCAGGUAGUCGGCGGGGUAACGGCCCACCGAGCCUACGACGGGUAGCCGGCCUGAGAGGGCGACCGGCCACAUUGGGACUGAGAUACGGCCCAGACUCCUACGGGAGGCAGCAGUGGGGAAUAUUGCACAAUGGGCGCAAGCCUGAUGCAGCGACGCCGCGUGCGGGAUGACGGCCUUCGGGUUGUAAACCGCUUUUGAUCGGGAGCAAGCCUUCGGGUGAGUGUACCUUUCGAAUAAGCACCGGCUAACUACGUGCCAGCAGCCGCGGUAAUACGUAGGGUGCAAGCGUUAUCCGGAAUUAUUGGGCGUAAAGGGCUCGUAGGCGGUUCGUCGCGUCCGGUGUGAAAGUCCAUCGCUUAACGGUGGAUCUGCGCCGGGUACGGGCGGGCUGGAGUGCGGUAGGGGAGACUGGAAUUCCCGGUGUAACGGUGGAAUGUGUAGAUAUCGGAA